GUUUGAACCAUGAUAGGACCUU
rnacentral:piRNA from 1 species